CGUUAUAAAAAUAUAUGUUGCAUAAGAAUUUUUUUUUUAAAACCAAGGUUACCACUCAUUACAUGUAUGUAUAUGCUGUAAUGAGUUUGUAUGGUAAUGGACAUGUUUGGUUGUGUUGAAUCUUGUUGCUAGGUAUUCGGGUUUGGUUAGAAUGGUACAAAAACUAGUUCACAUAUUGAAGCAGCUGAUGGAUCCUAAAGACCCUUAGUGUAUGCAGAUGAGUACAACAUUGGUGUGAUAUCAUCUCAGGAAAGCUUAGCUAAGCUUGCUGGUGGGGAGAAGAGGAUAUCCGUUUCUUGGUUUUGUCGACGUAGGCUUGCAACUGUAUUGGUAAAGUUGAAGUAUUGUGAACGCUUGAAGCAAGCUGUGACAUUUAUAGAAAAAGGGCAUGUUCGAGUCGGUCCAGAAACUAUUACUGACCCAGCAUAUCUAGUAACAAGAAACAUGGAAAAUUUUAUCACAUGGGUUGAUGAAUCCAAGAUAAAGAGAAAGGUCUUGGCGUAUAAUGAUCAGCUCGAUGAUUAUGAUGUAAUGGCUUGACAAAAUCCUACAUAUGAUUUUGAACCAUGAACAACAAUGAUUUUGAGCCAUGAAGAUAAGUUAUAUUAGCAUUGGUGGAGUAUCAUAAUCAGAUCAUGUUUGGUAGCUGCUACUAUGUCGUGUUGUAUGUUUGAUAUUUGAUUCUGAAACAUUUUUGAUAUAUGUUACUUGUUGAGAUGCAUCUUGAUUGUUGUUAGUGUAACAUUUAGUGUUCAAACAUGUUUGUCAGUCAAUCUCUCUUUUAAUUGUUCACCUUUGCUCUUUGCAUUCA